CCUGGAAGUCCCAGACACGCCAAAAGUUGAGAGGCUGGAUCCAAGAUUACAGCUGCUGGACGCUGCUCUUUUCCACGGAUGGAAACCUUUCCCAAAAGACGCGGAACUGUCCGAAAUCGAAGAUUUCGGAUGGGGCUCCGCCGUGUCAAGCCAUAACGCAAGGCGAUGCAUCGAUUGAACAGCAUCUCCUCCACAAGGUUACGUCUGCAAUAGCGGCUCCUGGAAGCCUUUCAUCGCCUCUGUUCACAGGCCAAUGGAGGUCAUGUCGUCACCCUUAUAAAUUACGGCACUACUGGGUGGAGGCUGACCUUCCCAUCUACAUAUUGAAGGAAAUGACUUUGACCCGCUCGAUAGGGUCAGCUGAGGCGGACGGCGCGAUCGCCGGCUUCGGAGAGCUGAGAGUGAGAUGCCAAGCAGGAGUGCUGCCAGACCUUAAAGUGGUGUGUUAAUUGUGUGUGGCUCCAGGGCACUGUGAGGGUACUUCCAGCCAGGAAGGCGGAGGUGGGUGGAUGAGAGGUUUGAGACGGAGAGGGGUGAAGGCGUGGAGACACCUGAAAUAAUCCCGGAAGCAGCUGCCAAUCGCUGGUAUGCCGGCCUGAUUACCCUGGCACACAUUUCCCGGUGAGGAGUGUUCCGUUUUCCUGUCUUAACCAGUCCUGUUUGCCCUGUAAACACACGCGCGCGCACGCACACACACACAUGGCUGGGGGAGGGAAGGCCUGGCCAGCGACCUUAAAGAAAAGUGGGAGAGCAGCCAUCCUGCCAGAGUUGAAAUGAACUCUUCAAAUUGGAACUCCCUGGGGAUUGAUAGCACAGCAGCUUGCUACGUGCUAUCGUGCAAAGCCCUGCAACGGCCGGCCACGUCAUCGACGAUGAGUCAAGCCUUCAAUGGGACCCCGGAACCCUAACAGAGACCCUCAAAGUCCAGCUGUGAUGACCUUUUCCCCUGGGGGAAUGGAAGUGUACCUGUCACACCGUCCCUACUGCAAUGUCGGGUACCUGUCACACCGUCCCUACUGCAAUGUCGGGUACCUGCCACACCGUCCCUACUGCAAUGCCGGGUAUGAACAUGCAGUGUCCAGGACACACAGAGGUAGUGCGAGACACUUUCAGCAAGCAGGACGGCAGAUUCCCCCCAGUCUUGAACUGUGCCUGACCUCCCCUUCAAACGCUCUUAUCUGAUCUGAAGGAAACUCCAAAGGUGGACAUCUGUUUGGAAGCCUUUGAGAGACAAAUUACAUGUGAUAAUUAUCAAUAUGGCACACUCAGAUCUUCUUCCCCGCCAGAUGUCCUGUUCCCAUCCCAAGAUGAGGAUCACACAUGUACAGAUGAGGAACCAAGCAGGACACAGGACCUGUUUGCACAUUGUUAUGGAAGACUAAGGGCCAAAGCAUAGCCCCCACCCUCACGAGUGUGACGUCGCCAUGGCGGCGCGGCUGACAGACCAAGCCCCGAAAUGCAUCUGUAUCCUGUUUGCCGACGGAUGGAAGCGGAGGCACUUAACUUUGAAAGGUCUCAUUGUUUUCUGCUGCUGCUCGGAUCCCAAACUCCUCACAUCACAGGCUCUGAGACUGUGGCGGAGGUUGAAAGCCGCGUCUCUACAGGACGCCCUGCUCACCUGCCUGAUUCAUCACUGUUUUGCUUCUACUCUGCUUGGUAAAGGAAUCGGAUGGGAAUGAAAUGAACUCUGGUAAAAAAAAAAAAAAAAAGCUUUAAUCUGCCGCAAAGGUUUUUGGCAACCUGGUAUCUGGAUGUUUGUGUAGCUGGGAGAUCACAUUCAGAGGCAUAACAUCGGUGUUUAUAUUGGGAUUUUAGCUUAAAGCGUGUUUAUGCAGCCAUACACUUAGUAACUAUUAAUAUGUAAUAUUUUCAGCAAAGCUGAAUAUCUUCAUUGACAGCUUAGCAUGGAAUACAGUAUUUAUAUGUAUGUAUUUCUAAACUAUCAUGCUUUCUAUCUUGCCUUUCAGGAUGAUUAUUUAGAUGUCCUAAGCUUUCAAAUUUGCUGCCCUGUGACCAAGAUAGGACCCAUACUUUAUUUUUAAAGUUAUUUGUAUAUCAGUCCACUGAUUGAUGUUGGUACUUUGCUGAUUUAAUGUUUCCUUUGUUAUUAGUGGUGGAUACUGAGGAUUGCGUAGUAUUUUGAUGUUCUUUGUGAAUUGCAUUAUCUACACACUAUUAUUCAGGCAGUAAUAUUUAAUUGUUUGAUCAUUCUGGCUAACUGCAGCUAAUUCUUAAUGUUUUAACUCAGUGAUUAAAGGUAUGAAAAGGCACCUGUGUUCACCGCUGCGAAGAUGUGUCUUCUGAUUGGUCGGAGGGGCCGUCAUCCUGGGAGAACAGAGCUCCUACUGACCUUACCAAUACUUUGAAGAUGUCCCCCGAAAACACAUGUCAGGUGGAGUGGAGUGGAGUGGGGGAGAUUGUGGUAUUUGCCAGGAAUCUUUGAAAACGGCACUUGUUUAUCUAAACCUUCAAAGGAUGGACACGGUAGAACCAUGUGACACUGGGGCCCUUCAAAGACCAGGGGGUUAGUGGGGGUCGGCUGUGUGGGACGGUCUCGUAUUAAACGGGACUGGCAGGCAGUGGCAUUAAAUGCUGAGCGCCCUGGGGGGGUUGGCAUUGAAAAACUCGAUAAGCAAA